UUUUGUUCUUUCUUUUUUUUUAUAUUCUGCUUUGGUGAAUUUUUCUUAUGGUGUAAUGUAUCUUUAAACUCUUAUGCCAUGUGAAUAGGAGCCUGAUUUACACAAAUCUGUCCCGUGUGGAAAAGGGGAUAUUGGUAUUAAGGAGGAGUCAUCAAAGACUUGUAUCAAAAGUGAAAAAGUUGCUGGGACUGAGUUUGCUGCCUUAAUUAAUGGUGAAGAUGGGAAAGAUGAGAAAACACCCACCAAUGAUACUGUUAGUGAUGAUCUUUUUGCUGAACUGGAUAUAUUGCUUAGCUCACCAGAAAAGGAAACUCAGGAGGUGCUGUCCCACGUUCUCCAUGCACAUUGCCAAUACGGAGAAAAGCUUACUC